rnacentral:rRNA from 1 species
ACGGAGGAUCCGAGCGUUAUCCGGAUUUAUUGGGUUUAAAGGGUGCGUAGGCGGAAUAGCAAGUCAGUGGUGAAAGUUUGCAGCUUAACUGUAAAAUUGCCAUUGAAACUGCUGUUCUUGAGUACAGUAGAGGUAGGCGGAAUGUGUAGUGUAGCGGUGAAAUGCAUAGAUAUUACACAGAACACCGAUUGCGUAGGCAGCUUACUGGAGUGUAACUGACGCUGAGGCACGAUAGCGUGGGGAUCAAACAG